AACGAACGCUGGCGGCAUGCCUAACACAUGCAAGUCGAACGAGACCUUCGGGUCUAGUGGCGCACGGGUGCGUAACGCGUGGGAACCUUCCCUUAGGUUCGGAAUAACUCCCCGAAAGGGGUGCUAAUACCGGAUAAUGUCUUCGGACCAAAGAUUUAUCGCCCUUGGAUGGUCCCGCGUUGAAUUAACUAGUUGUUAGGGUAAAAGCCUACCAAGGCGCCGAUCAAUAGCUGGUUUGAGAGGAGGAUCAGCCACACUGGGACUGAGACACGGCCCAGACUCCUACGGGAGGCAGCAGUGGGGAAUAGUGGACAAUGGGCGAAAGCCUGAUCCAGCAAUGCCGCGAGAGUGAUGAAGGCCUUAGGGUUGUAAAGCUCUUGUACCCGGGAUGAUAAUGACAGUACCGGGAGAAUAAGCUCCGGCUAACUCCGUG
rnacentral:rRNA from 1 species